rnacentral:rRNA from 1 species
UACAGAGGUCUCGAGCGUUUGUUCGGAUUCAUUGGGCGUAAAGGGUGCGUAGGCGGCGGGGUAAGUCUGAUGUGAAAUUCCAGGGCUCAACCUUGGGACUGCAUUGGAUACUGCCUUGCUAGAGAACUGGAGAGGAGACUGGAAUUUACGGUGUAGCAGUGAAAUGCGUAGAGAUCGUAAGGAAGACCAGUGGCGAAGGCGAGUCUCUGGACAGAUUCUGACGCUGAGGCACGAAGGCCAGGGGAGCAAACGGG